GCAUGUGGUUUAAUUCGAUGAUACGCGAGAAACCUUACCAGGGCUUGACAUAUACUCGACGGUUGUAGAGAUACAGCUUCCAUUCGGGGCGGGUAUACAGGUGCUGCAUGGCUGUCGUCAGCUCGUGCUGUGAAGUGUUGGGUUAAGUCCCGCAACGAGCGCAACCCAUGCUACCUGUUGCCAGCAUUCAGUUGGGGACUCAGGUGGAACAGCCGGUGACAAACCGGAGGAAGGUGGGGACGACGUCAAGUCAUCAUGGCCCUGAUGUCCUGGGCUACACACGUGCUACAAUGGCCGGUACAGAGUGACGCGAAACCGCGAGGUGGAGCAAAUCGCAGAAAGCCGGUCUCAGUACAGAUUGGAGUCUGAAACCCGACUUCAUGAAGGUGGAAUCGCUAGUAAUCGCGCAUCAGCACCGCGCCGGGAAUACGUUCCCGGGCAUUGUACACACCGCCCGUCACACCACCCGAGUUGGGGUACCCGAAGUCGCUUUACUAACCUGUCGAAAGGGGGACGUGCCGAAGUCCGNUCUCAGGGGNGGAGUCGUAACAA
rnacentral:rRNA from 1 species